ACGGAAGGCAGCAGUGGGGAAUAUUGCACAAUGGGCGGAAGCCUGAUGCAGCGAUGCUGCGUGGAGGAAGAAGGUUUUCGGAUUGUAAACUCCUUUUAUCAGGGACGAUAAUGACGGUACCUGAAGAAAAAGCUCCGGCUAACUACGUGCCAGCAGCCGCGGUAAUACGUAGGGAGCGAGCGUUGUCCGGAAUUACUGGGUGUAAAGGGUGCGUAGGCGGGGAUGCAAGUCAGAUGUGAAAUGUAUGGGCUCAACCCAUGAACUGCAUUUGAAACUGCAACUCUUGAGUGAGGUAGAGGUAAGCGGAAUUCCUAGUGUAGCGGUGAAAUGCGUAGAUAUAAGGAGGAACACCAGUGGCGAAGGCGGAUUGCUGGACAGUAACUGACGGUGAGGCGCGAAAGUGUGGGGAGCAAACAGGAUUAGAUACCCUGGUA
rnacentral:rRNA from 1 species